GACGAACGCUGGCGGCGUGCUUAACACAUGCAAGUCGAACGGAAAGGCCUGCUUUCCCUUGUGGUUUGCGGGUACUCGAGUGGCGAACGGGUGAGUAACACGUGAGUGAUCUGCCCCCAACUUGGGUAUAAGCCUGGGAAACUGGGUCUAAUUCCCGAUAGGACUGCAGGGUGGUGCCUGUGGUGGAAAACGAUCUUCUAGUGGUUGGGGAUGAGCGCGCGGCCUAUCAGCUUGUUGGUGGGGUAAUGGCCGACCAAGGCGGCGACGGGUAGCCGGCCUGAGAGGGUGGACGGCCACAUUGAGACUGGGAUACGACCCAGACUCCUACGGGAGGCAGCAGUGAGGAAUAUUGCGCAGUGAGCGGAAGCCUGAUGCGGCGACGCCGCGAGGGAGAUGACGGCCUUCGGGUUGUAUACUCCUUUCGACCGCGAGGAAGCCACCUAGUUGGAAGGGUGGUGACGGUAGUGGUAGAAGAAGCACCGGCUAACUACGUG
rnacentral:rRNA from 1 species